AUGUUUUAUUUCUUUAAAGAAAAACCUCUGAAGCAAAGAGGGCAAAUGACACAAAGAUUUGACAAAGCCAGGUGAUGGGAAUGGGUUAUUAAAGGCCUGUGGCUCUCAGAGUUGAAACAUGAGGCCUGAUGCACAAGGUGAAGUCCAGGAUAAAUGUGAGCUUCCCAACACCCACUGGCCGAGAAGACAGCUGUUCUCCUGAACAACUGUUCUCUGCAACUGGAAAUGCUGCCCUGAGAAGCCACAGUUUCUUAGGUGUGUGGCCAUUGCCCUGAACCCAGGGCUUUUGCUACCUGGGGCUGAGCCCUGGGUUCUGGCAGCCAUGGGUUAAAUCAACAAGGAGAGAGGGAGAGCAGUGGGAAGGAAUUCCCCUGCUAUUGUUGGAAAACUAAAUGUCCUAGAUCACUGUUGAGAUUAUUUGUUAACUAAGAGUUAACAGAUGCCAAGAGAAGGUCUAUAAGCGGGGGCCAGGCACCCUGGUCCCAGCACACUCAGUUGGCAUCUGAGGUCCCAGUGUAAUAACUUGCACCUUCCACAGUGUCCUGGGUUCAGGUGAUGAGGCGUGUGCACCCCUGCCUGUGAGUGUGUGCGCACUCUAAUGCAGCCCACCCAUCUGAGCAGGGCCCCGCCCUUGGCAAGCCCUGGCUUCCAGUGGUGGCUCAGACUCCAACUGGAGGAAAGCCAUCUACACCGAGGGGUCUCAGCCACAGCCAUGGGUGCCCUCGGCCUGCAUGCCCUGCUGGUCUGUCAGCGUCCAGGCCCCAGUGGGAUGCCAGCUGACACUGUAGGACCCUGACCUACCUGGGCUGUGUUGCUCUGAGGAGCAGCCUCCGCUCCACCCCAGGGCAGCUUUCUUCUUCCUCCGGCACCUUCAGGCCUCAGCUCAGGGUGGGCCUGGCCCACCUGCCUAUCCAAGGAGAUGAAGAUGUGUCCUCCCGGCUGGACGGUGUUCUUGGGUGUCUGCCCCGUGAGGCACUGCUGGACCUGUGGGGCAGGCACGCAGAGUUUGGGGGUGGGAUUGAGGAAGGGAUUUACUCUCAGGGGCAGGGAGAGGCUAGGAAGGGAUGGCCAAUCUGGCUCCUGUGGACAGUUGGUACCCUUGGAAUCUGUCUGCUGGGGAGGGUGUGGAAUCCCUGGAGGCUGCAGCUGCCAAUGAGGAUGAGAGUAGCAGGU
rnacentral:lncRNA from 10 species